ACAGAGAUCCAGCAGCGCCGCGUCUGCGGCGCGGAGAAAUGUUCUUUCAGACCAAGGACUUGGUCUGGCUGGAUCCCUGUGACGAGCACAGGGAUGAGGAGAUCAAGC
rnacentral:sRNA from 1 species